rnacentral:rRNA from 1 species
GAUGAACGCUGGCGGCGUGCCUAAUACAUGCAAGUCGAGCGAACGGACGAGAAGCUUGCUUCUCUGAUGUUAGCGGCGGACGGGUGAGUAACACGUGGAUAACCUACCUAUAAGACUGGGAUAAAUUCGGGAAACCGGAGCUAAUACCGGAUAAUAUUUUGAUCCGCAUGGUUCAAAAGUGAAAGACGGUCUUGCUGUCACUUAUAGAUGGAUCCGCGCUGCAUUAGCUAGUUGGUAAGGUAACGGCUUACCAAGGCAACGAUGCAUAGCCGACCUGAGAGGGUGAUCGGCCACACUGGAACUGAGACACGGUCCAGACUCCUACGGGAGGCAGCAGUAGGGAAUCUUCCGCAAUGGGCGAAAGCCUGACGGAGCAACGCCGCGUGAGUGAUGAAGGUCUUCGGAUCGUAAAACUCUGUUAUUAGGGAAGAACAUAUGUGUAAGUAACUGUGCACAUCUUGACGGUACCUAAUCAGAAAGCCACGGCUAACUACGUG